rnacentral:rRNA from 1 species
GAUGAACGCUGGCGGCGUGCCUAAUACAUGCAAGUCGAGCGAACAGACGAGGAGCUUGCCCCUCUUACGUUAGCGGCGGACGGGUGAGUAACACGUGGAUAACCUACCUAUAAGACUGGGAUAACUUCGGGAAACCGGAGCUAAUACCGGAUAACAUGUUGAACCGCAUGGUUCAACAGUGAAAGACGGUCUUGCUGUCACUUAUAGAUGGAUCCGCGCCGCAUUAGCUAGUUGGUAAGGUAACGGCUUACCAAGGCAACGAUGCGUAGCCGACCUGAGAGGGUGAUCGGCCACACUGGAACUGAGACACGGUCCAGACUCCUACGGGAGGCAGCAGUAGGGAAUAUUCCGCAAUGGGCGAAAGCCUGACGGAGCAACGCCGCGUGUGUGAAGAAGGUCUUCGGAUCGUAAAACUCUGUUAGUAGGGAAGAACAAAUGUGUAAGUAACUAUGCACGUCUUGACGGUACCUAAUCAGAAAGCCACGGCUAACUACGUG